UUUUAGUCAUGAGACAACCGAAUUUGAAGAAGGAACGCAGAAAUUCCUGUUCUAACAUGAUUCAGAUAAUGACCUACCAGACUAUUCCUUCAGAUUUCUUGUAUUUCCUACAAAAUGGAAGCUUUUAAUGUACUCUUUGGAAGUCAGAAGUUCCUGAGCAACGGGAUUGAUUGUUCAAGCGUGUGCAGACACUGUGUAGGACCUAACAAGAAAUUCACACG